UACGAGGGAUGCAAGCGUAUCCGGAAUUAUUGGGCGUAAAGCGUUUGUAGGCGGGCGAGUGUGUUUAAUGUUAAAUCUUAAAGCUCAACUUUGAAAUUGCGUUAAAAACUGCUUGUCUUGAGUAUGGUAGGGGUAAAGGGAAUUCCCAGUGUAGCGGUGAAAUGCGUAGAUAUUGGGAAGAACACUAAACAGCGAAGGCACUUUACUAGGCUAAUACUGACGCUGAGAAACGAAAGGUAAGGUAGCGAAACGGAUUAGAUACCCGUGUAGUCUUACCCGUAAACUAUGGACACUAAACGGUAAAUUUUUAAUUUACUGUUAAAGCUAACGCGUUAAGUGUCCCGCCUGGGGAGUAUGCUUGCAAAAGUGAAACUCAAAGGAAUUGACGGGGGCCCGCACAAGCGGUGGAGCAUGUGGUUUAAUUCGACGGUACACGAAGAACCUUACCAGGAUUUGACAUGCUAGAUAGUUGCUUGAAAGAGUAACGUGCCGUAAGGAAUCUAGACACAGGUGGUGCAUGGCUGUCGUCAGUUCGUGUUGUGAAAUGUUGGGUUAAGUCCCGCAACGAACGCAACCCUUGUCUUUAGUUAUUUUCUAAAGAGACUGCCUGUAAUAAACAGGAGGAAGGUAAGGAUGAGGUCAAGUCAUCAUGCCCCUUAUGUCCUGGGCUACACACGUGCUACAAUGGGAAAGACAAUGAGCUGCAAAUCUGUAAAUUUAAGCAAAUCUCUUAAACUUUCUCGUAGUUCGGAUUGUGGGCUGCAACUCGCCCACAUGAAGUUGGAAUCGCUAGUAAUCGCCAGUCAGCUAUAUGGCGGUGAAUCCGUUCCCGGGCCU
rnacentral:rRNA from 1 species